ACUCUUUAAAAAAGAAUAGAUACGUCUACAUUCGAUUUAGUAACGAUUGCGAUCAUACCAGCACUAAUGCACCGGAUCCCAUCAGAACUCCGCAGUUAAGCAUGCUUGGGCGAGAGUAGUACUGGGAUGGGUGACCUCCUAGAAAGGCCUCGUGUUGCAUCCCUC
rnacentral:rRNA from 1 species